UUGCUGGUCAUGGGACCAGAGGCUUUAUGGGAAGGGAAGAAUUGUUCUUGACUUUCAGUUUUUCGAGCGGGUUUCAAGAGUCUAACGUGAAGACAUUUUGCUCCAAGAAUAUCCUAGCCAUCCUUGGCUUCUCCUCUAUCAUAGCUGUGAUAGCUUUGCUUGCUGUGGGGUUGACCCAGAACAAAGCAUUGCCAGAAAACGUUAAGUAUGGGAUUGUGCUGGAUGCAGGUUCUUCUCACACAAGUUUAUACAUCUAUAAGUGGCCAGCAGAAAAGGAGAAUGACACAGGGGUGGUGCAUCAAGUAGAAGAAUGCAGGGUUAAAGGUCCUGGAAUUUCAAAAUAUGUUCAGAAAGUAAAUGAAAUAGGCAUUUACCUGACUGAUUGCAUGGAAAGAGCUAGGGAAGUGAUUCCAAGGUCCCAGCACCAAGAGACACCCGUUUACCUGGGAGCCACGGCAGGCAUGCGGUUGCUCAGGAUGGAAAGUGAAGAGUUGGCAGACAGGGUUCUGGAUGUGGUGGAGAGGAGCCUCAGCAACUACCCCUUUGACUUCCAGGGUGCCAGGAUCAUUACUGGCCAAGAGGAAGGUGCCUAUGGCUGGAUUACUAUCAACUAUCUGCUGGGCAAAUUCAGUCAGAAAACAAGGUGGUUCAGCAUAGUUCCAUAUGAAACCAAUAAUCAGGAAACCUUUGGAGCUUUGGACCUUGGGGGAGCCUCUACACAAAUCACUUUUGUACCCCAAAACCAGACUAUCGAGUCCCCAGAUAAUGCUCUGCAAUUUCGCCUCUAUGGCAAGGACUACAAUGUCUACACACAUAGCUUCUUGUGCUAUGGGAAGGAUCAGGCACUCUGGCAGAAACUGGCCAAGGACAUUCAGGUUGCAAGUAACGAAAUUCUCAGGGACCCAUGCUUUCAUCCUGGAUAUAAGAAGGUAGUGAACGUAAGUGACCUUUACAAGACCCCCUGCACCAAGAGAUUUGAGAUGACUCUUCCAUUCCAGCAGUUUGAAAUCCAGGGUAUUGGAAACUAUCAACAAUGCCAUCAAAGCAUCCUGGAGCUCUUCAACACCAGUUACUGCCCUUACUCCCAGUGUGCCUUCAAUGGGAUUUUCUUGCCACCACCCCAAGGGGAUUUUGGGGCAUUUUCAGCUUUUUACUUUGUGAUGAAGUUUUUAAACUUGACAUCAGAGAAAGUCUCUCAGGAAAAGGUGACUGAGAUGAUGAAAAAGUUCUGCUCUCAGCCUUGGGAGGAGAUAAAAACAUCUUACGCUGGAGUAAAGGAGAAGUACCUGAGUGAAUACUGCUUUUCUGGUACCUACAUUCUCUCCCUCCUUCUGCAAGGCUAUCAUUUCACAGCUGAUUCCUGGGAGCACAUCCAUUUCAUUGGCAAGGUUCUUUACUUUUUAUAACAGCCUCAGAGUUUCAUGAAUUGCUGCAAUAAACACUGAUUUUCAUGUUUGUGAGUCUGCAAGCCAGCUGGGCAGCUCUACUUCAGGUGUUCCUCCUCCUGUGUUUUACAUGAUUAAUGCCACCCCUGCCUCAACGAACCAAGAUCAGCUUCAUCACUGGGACCUCCCCAUUCUUCCUGUGCAAUAUUUUUCUUUUUUAUUUCUCCUUCUAAUAUUACUGUUAUUGCUCCAGUAAAGAUCUGUAAUAUAUUUCACCUGGACUGAUACCAGGAAUGGUGGUGUUGCUUCCAAUCUGUUGCUGCUAGAUUAAUCUUUGCAAAGUACAGGCUUAACUUCAUUGCUCCUCAACUAAAACCACUGGUGGUCCAUUGCCUACAAAAUAAAGUCAACCUCCCCAGCAGACAUUCAAGGCUUUCAAUGAUCCAUGGCUGUCAGCUCUCUCCAGGCUCACAUCCCACUCCACUCCUCUGAUGUUUCCUACACUACACUACACUACAGCCAGGUAGAAUGACUGUUCACCCAACACCACUCAGGUUGUCUUCUCAACUUGGAAUACUCUUGCACCUUCAAAGCUCAGUUCAAAUGCCCCUUCAUUUGUGAAGCCUUCUCCAAAUCUCCAAGUCAGAAUGUCUCUUCCUUGUGCUACCACAACCCUUUACCUGAGCCUCCAUUAGUGCACUGAGACCAUUCUGUUCAGUGUCUGGGUGAAGCUUCUUGGUGCAAAAUAUGUUACCUAUUUCUUUCUGAAAAGUUGGAUUCAGGGAUAUUUUAGCAGGACCUAAGGUAAUAGUUCUAGCCAACCUCCCUGUCCACUGCCAGGCCGACUACAAACCCUUCUGUUGCUGGCGAGCUGGUCCACACCACUAGUUCUGCUUCAUUCUAUUUAUCUCUUGAUGUGACCAUCUUCUUCCUCCAGGUUUUAAGAACCAGCCCAACUCCUGGUUCCCUGAUGAAGCUUUUAGUCCUCUAGCCACAUCGAACUUUUCCUUUUUGGAACAUGCCUUUAGUUUCUGUGUAGUUUGCCAUGCAGCACUUCAUUGUACACAUUAUUAAAACAGAAUUUUAAGGAUUAGUAUGAACCUUAAAAGAUCAUGCAUCUCAAAAUUUAAUGUACAUACAAAUUACCCAGGGAUUUUCUUGAAAUAAAAAUUAUUUAAUUUUAAUUAAUAUAAAUAAUUCAGUAGGUCUGGGGUGAGGCCUGAGGUUCUACAUUUCCAACAAGCUGCCAGGUAAAGCCAAUACAUCUGUCCAGGAAUCACACUUUGAGUAUCAAAGGUCUAGAUGACAUUAUCAUUCCAAAGAGUUUCUUUUACAGGCUCUCAGAUCAGUGUUCAUCCACUACCUGACUGCUGUCAUUCAUAGGCAGUCUGUUCCACAGCGGGCCAGCUAACAUGGCAUUUACAAAGCUCACUCCUCUUAUAUAACAACCCAAGUGUUUCUUUUGUCAGUUGUCUGUGCCCCAGGAGAUCCCUCUCUGCCUUGCCUUGCCCUCUGCCUUUGGGGGCCAGCACCUCACACUCAGUGAAGGCCUGGAGUGCUUAAGAGGGAUUUCUUCCAGUUCUCUUGCCCUGGCCUUCAGUGUAUUAGGUGUAUGACCUCCAUGCUCUCAGUAGAGGCCCAUAGAAAAGAGCAGGUAGGUUAUGCCAGCUCACACGCAUCCUUUAAAAAUGGUUUAGAAGUUUAGCUGGUUUCUUAUUAUUCCUGACUAUGGAUGUUUCCUUCUGUCACUCUACUAGGGAUGAAACAGCUAAUUAUGUUCAAGAGUUAAAUUUAGAUUGGUUUUUAAAAACUAUGAUUGUAUUAGUUCGUUUCCAUGCUGCUGAUAAAGACAUAUCUGAGACUGGGAAUAAAAAGGGUUUAAUUGGACUUACAGUUCCACAUGGCUGGGGAGGCCUCAAAAUCAGGUGGGAGGCAAAAGGUACUUCUUACAUGGUGGCAUCAAGAGAAAAAUGAGGAAGAAGCAAAAGCAGAAACUCUUGAUAAACCCAUCAGAUCUUGUGGGACUUAUUAUCAUGAGAAUAGCACAGAAAAGACUGGCCUCCAUGAUUCAAUUACCUCCCCCUGGGUCCCUCCCACAACAUGUGAGAAUUCUGGGAGAUACAAUUCAAGUUGAGAUUUGGGUGGGGACACAGCCAAACCAUAUCAUUCUGCCCUGGGCUCCUCCAAAUUUCAUAAUCCUCACAUUUCAAAACCAAUCAUUCCUUCCCAACAGUUCCCCAAAGUCUUAACUCAUUUCAGCAUUAACCCCAAAGUCCACAGUCCAAAGUCUCAUCUGAGACAAGGCAAGUCCCUUCCACUUACAAGCCUGUAAAAGCAAGCUAGUUACCUCCUAGAUACAAUGGGGGGGUGGGUACAGGUAUUGGGUAAAUACAGCUGUUCCAAAUGAGAGAAAUUGGCCAAAACAAAGGGGUUACAGGGUCCGUGCAAGUCUGAAAUCCAGUGGGGCAGUCAAAUUUUAAAGCUCCAUAAUGAUCUCCUUUGACUCCAUGUCUCACAUUCAGGUCACGCUGACGCAAGAGAUAGGUUCCCAUGGUCUUGGGCAGCUCCGCCCCUGUGGCUUUGCAGAGUACAGCCUCCCUCCUGGCUGCUUUCUCAGGCUGAUGUUGAGUAUCUGUGGCUUUUCCAGGCACAAGAUGCAAGUUGGUGGUUGAUCUACCAUUCUGGGGUCUACCAUUCUGGGACUGUGGACUUCUUCUCACAGCUCCACUAGGCAGUGCCCCAGUAGGGACUCUGUGUGGGGGCUCUGCCCCACAUUUCCCUUCCACACUGCCCUAGGAGAGGUUCUCCAUGAGGUUCUCUGCCCCUGCAGCAAACUUUUGCCUGGACAUCCAGGUGUUUCCAUAUAUCUUCUGAAAUCUAGGCAGAGGUUCUCAAAUCUCAAUUCUUGACAUCUGUGCACCCGCAGGCUCAACAUCACAUGGAAGCUGCCAAUGCUUGGGGCCUCUAACCUCUGAAGCCACAGCCCAAGCUCUAUGUUGGCUUCUUUCAGCCAUGGCUGGAGCAGCUGGGACACAGUCCCAGGGACACCAAGUCCUAGGGACACCAAGUCCCUAGGCUGCACACAGCACAGACACCCUGGGCCCAGCCCACAAAACCACUUUUUCCUCCUGGGCCUCUGGGCCUGUGAUGGGAGGGGCUGCCAUGAAGGUCUCUGACAUGACCUGGAGACAUUUUCCCCAUGGUCUUGGGGAUUAACAUUAGGCUCCUUGCUGCUUAUGCAAAUUUCUGCAGCCAGCUUGAAUUUCUUCUUAAAAAAAAAUGGGUUUUUCUUUCCUACUGCAUCAGGCUGCAAAUUUUCCACUUUUAUGUUCUUGUUUCCCUUUUAAAAAAGAAUGUUUUUAACAGCACCCAAGUCACCUUUUGAAUGCUUUGCAGCUUAGAAAUUUAUUCCACCAGAUACCCUAAAUCAUCUCUCUCAAGCUUAAAGUUCCACAAAUCUCUAGGGCAGGGGUGAAAUGCUGCCAGUCUCCUUGCUAAAACAUAACAAGCGUCACCUUUACUCCAGUUCCCAACAAGGUCUUCAUCUCCAUCUGAGACCACCUCAGCCUGGACCUUAUUGUUCAUAUCACUAUCAGUAUUUUUGUCAAUGCCAUUCACAAGUCUCUAGGAGGUUCCAAACUUUCCCACAUUUUCCUAUCUUCUUCUGAGCCCUCCAGAUUAUUUCAACACCCAGUUCCAAAGUUGCUUCCACAUUUUCGGGUAUCUUUUCAGCAAUGCCCCACUCUACUGGUACUAUUAGUCCGUUUUCAUGCUGCUGAUAAAGACAUACCUGAGACUGGUAACAAAAAGAGGUUUAAUUAGACUUAUAGUUCCACCUGGCUGGGGAGGCCUCAGAAUCAUGGCAGGAGGUGAAAGGCAUUUCUUACAUGGCAGCAGCAAGAGAAAAAUGAAGCAGCAGCAAAAGCAGAAACCCCUGAUAAACCCAUCAGAUCUCGUGAGACUUAUUCACUAUCACAAGAAUAGCAUGGGAAAGACCAGCCCCCUUGAUUCAAUUACCUCCCCCUGGGUCCUGUGGGAAUUCUGGAAGGUACAAUUCAAGUUGAGAUUUGGGUGGGGACACAGCCAAACCAUAUCAAUGAUUUUGUACUUUAACCAGCUGAAUGGAAGUACAAUCUCUUGCCAUAUGCCACAAUAAUUAUUUGCAAAAUGAGUAAACAUAUCAUAAGGAAAUUAUUUUUUACAAGGUUUGAAACCUGAAAUGCAAUCUAUUAUCAUACAUAACUAAAAAUAGAGCCUCAAUAAACAGAUUCCCAGUUUUGAAAAUGCAACAUUUGUACUCCACAUUGUCAGUUUUCUUAGGUAUAUUUAUAAAUACUCCUAUAAAAAUGUAAAGAAACACAUAAUGUAGAUUGCUAAUUUUAUAAUAACACAAGUUGAUUUUGACAUCCAACUUAUUUUAUUAAUUAUGAAAUGACUUUUGGCCUAGUAACAAUGAAAAGGGGGGCAAAUACAGAUAAAUGAUAAUUCUUAGAAUGAACUACUCAGCACCAAUUCUAAGUUUUUCUCGAUGGUAAAUCAUAAUGUUCCCUUUCUCCUCGGUUCUGCAAUCUAUAAGCAUACCAUAAUUGUAAUCAAUAGCUUAAAAAUAUGUCUCUCUGUCCUGGUCUGUUUCUGUAUCUCUUGGAUUUUUACCUUUGCAAUAGUCAACUGAACCCAACCUUCUUGGAGUACUCAUGAAGAUGGAAGUCCAUGUGGAGAAUACGGGAUGAAUCCACUCUGUCUCCUGCAGUGAAGUCUAUUUGAAGGAUGUAUUUGGCUGUCUUCUGGACAGGCCAUUCUAAUAACAGAAACAAGUUAUUUUAAAACUUAUUGGAAUAUUCAAAUAUUAACCAAAGUAGAAAAAUAUAAUACACAUCCACGUGCCCAUCACACAACUUCACUGAUUAUCAUCAUUUAGCCAGUCUUGAAGAAGCAAGUGCUAAUUACAAUCACAAAUGAAACAAGAUUCAGACUUCAUGAAGAGCACUGCGCUAUAAUAAAAGAAGAAAUGAGCACAUACAUUCUUUUACUGACAGUCAAAUGGUGAAGGUCGGCAGAAUCAUUAUGUGAUGCAAAAUGGCAAAAGUAUACAGACAGUGCAUCCAGAGGAAGGUACCUUGCUGAAUGACUAGAAUGGAAGUAGGAGACAUUUUGCAGGCCCCCUUCAUCCUGCAGGGAGAACCAGAACUACAGCAGCUCUAUUUGCCUAUUUCUCUUUAAAUUACAAAGUUAAAAUUUGGGAGUAGUAGAAAAUCAAUUGGUUAUCUUAUAGAGUCUCCUAGAAUAUUUCAUUGGCAUUGAGAAGGUGGAAAAUGCAAACAAAUUAUAUACUUUAAAAUGUAAUUUGCUUUUCACAUAUGCUUAAAGCCUAAAACCUCUUAAUAAACUUCUUCCGAAAUAUA